rnacentral:rRNA from 1 species
GAUCCUGGCUCAGAAUGAACGCUGGCGGCGUGCUUAACACAUGCAAGUCGAACGAGAAAUCUUUAGCUCGCUAGAGAAAGUAAAGUGGCGCACGGGUGAGUAACGCGUGGGUAAUCUGCCUCCGAAUCGGGGAUAACAUUGCGAAAGCGAUGCUAAUACCGGAUAAAAUCUGGUUGGCUUCGGUGAACCGGAUCAAAGGUGGUCUCUUUAUAAAAGCUACCGUUUGGAGAUGAGCUCGCGUACCAUUAGCUAGUUGGUGAGGUAAAGGCUCACCAAGGCGACGAUGGUUAGCUGGUCUGAGAGGAUGAUCAGCCACACCGGAACUGGAACACGGUCCGGACUCCUACGGGAGGCAGCAGUGAGGAAUUUUGCGCAAUGGGGGAAACCCUGACGCAGCAACGCCGCGUGAGUGAUGAAGGCUUUCGGGUCGUAAAGCUCUGUCAGGUGGGAAGAACCCACCAAGUGUUAAGACCACUUGGUGCUGACGGUACCACCGAAGGAAGCACCGGCUAACUCCGUGCCAGCAGCCGCGGUAAUACGGGGGGUGCGAGCGUUAUUCGGAAUCAUUGGGCGUAAAGGGCGCGCAGGCGGUUUUGUAAGUCAGAUGUGAAAUCCCGGGGCUUAACCCCGGAAGUGCAUAUGAAACUAUGAGACUUGAGUAUGGGAGAGGGAAGCGGAAUUCCUGGUGUAGCGGUGAAAUGCGUAGAUCUCAGGAGGAACACCGGUGGCGAAGGCGGCUUCCUGGACCAAUACUGACACUGAGGCGCGAAGGCGUGGGGAGCGAACAGGAUUAGAUACCCUGGUAGUCCACGCAGUAAACGUUGAUCACUAGGUGUAGCGGGUAUUGACACCUGCUGUGCCGGAGUUAACGCAUUAAGUGAUCCGCCUGGGGAGUACGAUCGCAAGAUUAA